CCUUAACUCAGUUACUUUCUGGCCACCUCCACCUUCUCAACGGAGCUAGAGUUCACUCCUCUCCUCCAUCCAAAAUACCUUUCUGCGAUUCCAGGGAGUAGUAGAAACCCUCUCCUCUGAAUCCUUGGGGCAUGUAAGCAUCAGAGGUCCUGGAGAAGACCCUGCCACCCCCGUGUCCUCUGGGUGAAGAUAACAGGUAGGAAGAACCCUGGUGGGGAAGAGGACCAGGUAAGGAGGGGACAAACCAGAAGAGGGGAGGGCAGGAAGGGAGGGAUAUGUAGAGAAGUUUUUUACUUUAUCCUGUCAAAACUGUCUUUAUAUAGUUUGUUGAAAAUUAAUUUUGUAAUUCAAAACUUCAGAAAAAAUCCUACUGCCCUUUGUAGUCCCAUGCCAAUUCCACUGUCCCACGUGGCUGUCCCUGACCAGCAUGGAUUCCCAGGGCUGCAAGGGUACCUGGGGAGGGAUGUGCAUGUCCUGCUGUGGCCUGCACUUGUGAGAAUUGCAAGCCCAGGCCCCUUCUUCCACGCCUGCAUUCCUGACUUGCAGGGGAAGCGCCAGGCGGAGUCUUCGGACCACCACGGCUAUCAUGGUGGUCUUGAGUAGUCUUUGCAUAGUGUUGGUGGUGGUCUUAGGAACACCAGAACAUUUUUGACAAGGCAACAGCCCCGGGGGACCCUGUCUGGCCACUGGGACCCUGUCCAGUGGUCCCCAGGCAUGUGCUCCAUGCCCAUGGGGACACUGUCAACCCUGCUCACCCCAUCUCUGGAGUUGGGGGUUUUCAUCCAGUUCUGAGCUAUAACAUAGCUGGUGGAUUGGAGUUAGGACUCACUGAGGCCGUGACCUGAAAACCCAGCCCAGGCAGCACAGCUGGGAGGAAGUGUCUCAGGGACAAAGACAUGGGCCCUGAUGUCCUGGAUGAAGCACUGGGACUCCUGGUACAACUCAUGUGUCCUGUGAAGGCAGAAACACACAGUAACAUCCCCAAGAGAAACUGGCCACCUGCCUGUCACUUGGAGAGGCCAUGAGAGGGAGCUGCUGCCAGGAACAGAGGAGCCACUGUCACCUGGGCAUCAAAUGGGUCAGCUUUACAUGAGUUUGGGGACAGAUGGAUAAAGGAGUCCAGGGGCUGGAGUCAAAUCUUGUGCCAAUUGGUCUAUUUAUCCCCUGGCCCAACUUUUAAAUCUGUGAUAUGAACUUGUCACUCCCCUCCCUAUGAGUGACAAGCGGCCCCACCCCUCAUUCAGGACGUCUUUUCUGUAUGGUGAGCAGCUUUGGAAGACAGAGACGGUGAUUUUCUGAUUUCCUCUCCGCCGGCCUGGCCCGGCCCGGACCAAGAGUUUGUUCCCUCAUGGUCACCUGAGCUGCGCCCAGGGCGUGGGAAACUGUCGCAGGCCUGAAGUUCACACUGCCUGUGGCUCAUCUCCGAUCCCUCACUGCCUGCAGUGAGCCCAGACUGUGCAAAUGACUGCAAAACCCCAGCACGUGUCCCCUCUGCAAUGCUGUUUCUCAUUUUCCCUUCGGUCUGCUUAUCCCCAGCAUUCAUCGUGAAGCCCCAGGCUUCGCCUUCAUCAUGGAGGUUGUCUCCUAGCUUCCAGUGCAGACCCUUCAGCCUCCUGAUUCAGACUCCCAUGGGAUAUUACACCUUCGACUAGAUUCUGCAGAUCUCCAGUGUGCAGACAGACCUUGUGUACUCUUCCACAUCUGACUCUUUGGGCAGCCAUUGUAAG
ensembl:lncRNA